GUCCUGCUAUGUGAGCUAAUAAGCCUCUCCAGCUGAGCUUGUCCUUCCCAAGCAUGAUAGAGGAACAACCAGAUGCACUCUGGGACUGAAGGCAACCUCUCUGACUGACAUGCUGAUGGAACCGAUGGAACCGGACACACAGCCAUGUGACUGAAGCUGAUACCCUUCUUUCUUCCAAGAAACAGCUGGAUGGGAAUCUUAGAUCAAUUAACGACCAAAUGGGAAAUAUGGGCCGAAUGGCCUCCUCUUUUGUUACCUUUCUUAAUCUUUUAUAUUCUCAUUUAGCUGCUAGUAGCUUAAUGAUCCAAGGAUUCCAUCAAGUUGUUUUCAUAAUGAAUCUCAGCUUCAUUAAUUUGGUAUAAGGACUUGAUUCCCAAUUUCAUCUUCAACAAAUCCCCUUAAUCUGUCAGAAUAUAAAAUUUCUGUCACACUAGAAAUUAGUCUGGUUGCCCUUUUGUACUGUGUCUAGAGCAGCACAUUAAACCACUCUGCAAACAUACUCCCAAAGUGGACACUGGUAGAUUUUACGACACUUGAUAUGUAGACUUUAGAAAUAGACGAAGUAUUGCACAGUCAAUUUAUUCUUAUAUUAAAAGGACCAGGCACCCAAGGUUAUUUCAUGUGUAUGUGAAUCAAGAACUAGUUUAAAUACAGAAAAAAAGAGUACUCAUUAAGGGAGAAACCUCAGCAUGGAGUGAGGUAAUUAAAGAAAACACUGCUGGAAUCCUACCGAUUUACAACAGUGACUGAGACCACGAACUAAUUAGCAAGCUCAUCCAGCUCAUCAAAUAUACGGAUGAUACACUACUAAAGGGCAUAACUAGCCAGCACUCUGAUAGCAGCAGAGCAAACACGAGAUGAAGAGAGAUCAGAAACAAUGAAAUACGAUACAACCAAAUGCAAAGCCGGCAAGCAAGAAGCACCAGGGUCCAUAAUCGAUAGCAAAUAAGAACAAAAUCACUUGAAGAGCAAACCAGGGAGAAACACAAUAACCAGUGAGAAACCAAUGAGAUUCUCAAAGAACAUUCAAAAUCUGGGCACCUGAGGAGGACACGAAAUGUGCAACCAAUCCUGUGGACAGAGAGUAAAAUGAUUUUAGAUUCCGCAUUAAGGGUGGUAAUGGCAAGUCAGUUUCAGGUUGUAUUCCAGGGUAUUCCAACCUGAAGAAGACCAGGUUUUGCUGAUUUCCAUUUUGGCUAAGUUCUGAGUUACUUGACUGAAACUGUAAACUGUAAUUCAUAAUCUGUCGCAACAGAUGUCUUGAGUUGAGGAUAUGAAGUGAAAGAGGUUGACGCAUCUUGCCCACAUUCCCCAGAAAGCACAGAGGACUGCUGGUCCUGCUAACAACGGGCAUUACAACCAUCACCACACAGUGGCACGACUGUGGAUGUUCCAAUUGAUAUUUCAGAGAACGUAUUUAUGAGCUUGAUAGCUUCUUGUAAGGAGUCUGAUGGAUCUGCUAAUUAUAAUAGUACAUCAACUACGUAAAGGUUGCUUUUGUGCUGUGUGUGGAGGGUUUGAAUUCCCUUGAUGUUUGUUGUAUCCUUGCCUGGUCCCCCUGCGCACUGUGAAACUGCAUUCCGUUAGUAGUGACUGCGGCCAAAGGUGUAGUGUAUGAUACCUUUAUCAUUGAACAAACAGUACUACAAGACCAGUUUGUUUUGGAAAUUCUAAUUAUUUUAAAAGAAGUGAAUAUUUGUUUGGCUUGGUUUGUGGUCUAAAGUGAAUAGCUUGCUAAAGAAUGUACGGAAAGUGUUAUUUACGUCUUGCGAUCUCCAGCUUGUAAAGCAAUAUAGAUUGUUCGGGAUAAAAGACUCAGCAGCUGGGAAUUUCCCAUGUAUUUUAAAAUAUUUCACUACUGUGAUGGUAUUAACCUUUAUCGCAGCAACAAUUUAUUUUUCUUAAUUCCAUUUUAACUGAUUUGCUACAUAUUUUCCUGAUUUAUUACUGUGUUCAAUAUGAUCAUAUCGGAGUCUCUGGAUGAGGAAUUCUGUAUUUUUAUUAAUAAUAUAAUUUAAUUGACGUUUAGAUUUUCUCAGUUCACUCCGAACUUGUGCAGUGGGAUUGUUAGCAUAAGCGUCAUGCAAUUCUUUGGUAUUUUCAUUUCAAAUAAUAUUUAUUUCUUAAUUAAACAAAUAGUUUACUUCAGUGCUCAGAACAAAACCGUUCCAAGGGUUUAGAAAUCAAAGGAAGAGGGGACCUGUCACGCCUUUAGGUCUGUAGUUUUUCAGACCUAGUCCUGGUAUAUUAAAUAUCAAAAAAGGACAACUCACUGCCUGAGCUGUGUGACCAGUGUGUCUGCUGCUGCACCUGAACUGAAACUCAUGUCUGCUUAACCCUCCUGCUUCAGCGCACAGAUAACUGUGAAUCAAGCAGGUUAUCAAAGAGGUUUCAUUAAUACCUCUUCCACGUACUUCCUGCUUGAUUGUUUAUCGCCUCGGCUUUACUGCUCCGGCAGCUGCAGCCCCUGGAGCCACACGAGGCCCCCAUGAUCAGACCCGCCGGCUGAGGAAACACGCUGUUAAAGUCAUCCGCCACUUCUCAUCUACCAAAUCAACACAGCACCCACGGGAGAAGCAGCGCUGGUGGGAAAGUCAGCACAAUGAGCGGAGGAGCCUGCAGCAGGGCAGGAUUGAAGUGGUGAUACGGUAUCACACUCCUUUACUGCCAAAUCAAUCACUCAGCAGACCUGCAGUGCACACUGUUUUGUCUUGAUUAAAUAUUUUACUAGUCAUACUAUAGCUUGUAAAUAUUUUAUAAGAUCUAUAAUGUUUUAUUUAGUCCCAGUGCUAAUUUAAUCAAAACAGGAAUAAAAUUAUAGAAGUUUAUGUUGUUUUGACUUAACAGGCCUACUGUGUAUAGAAUUCAGAUUUCAAUAUUUAGGCAUAAUCCUUUAUAGUGCACAGUGCUACAAACAUUGAAUUAAUACUGAUUUUCUGUUGGCCUUUUAAUGCAUUUCUCUGAAUACAGGUAAAUGAGAUUUGACACAGAAGAAAUCAAAGAUCUUUUAAAUGGACCUGAAAAAAAUUAGAUGUUAUCAUUUUCAAACGGUAGACACAAAACAAAAUAUUACAAUUUUAAAGUGUUUAUCUUUAAAUAUAUGUUUGGUGCUGCAUACAAAGAAAUACUUACACAUACUCAUUUUGAUUAAUUGUAGUCAUAAAAGACCCAUAUUAUUCAAAUUAAAAUGCCUAUGAAACAGAAUCCUGGUCUCUUCAAAUCUCAGUAGUUUAUUCUAGAUUCCGAGAUUCUAAUUCCAUAUUUAUAUCUUGCUAAUAUCAACAGCCGAAAAUGUAAAAAGAAUUGAACCAUGAUUUAUUUUUCUUCCAUUGUAAUGUACAGUAGAAUUAAACCUAACGAUGAAUAAAAAGUACAAUUUUUCCACAAGGACCAUCCAUCAAGCAUACAAGGAACACGCCAACGUAUCUUUAUCAGUACAGUGUGUAGCAGGUAGGACUAACGGUGGUUCAUUUUGAUUAAGUAAACGGGUACUGUAUCCAACAGCAUGAUCACAUUUGCUUAACAAAAAGCUUCAGAGGAUUUUUCCAUAUCAAAUACAUCAGGUAAAAGAACUGGCCAACUCUAUUGUACUGGUGGAGUUACAGUAAGUAUUCUACUAACAUAUUAGUUGAUUGAUGCAGUUGAUUUUUUCAAGGCUGUGAGAAAGCUAUGCUCCUUGGCUGGUCCAGUUGGUACAGUAUGUGCUUCUUGGAGCCAUAUUCGCUUGUUAUACUCGUUGCAUUGAAAUGAGCUUUUGAAAACUGUACUCCUUUAUGACAAAGCUUUUAAUCAUUGGGACAGAUUCUAAUACCUAGUGGGCUACUAUAUCAUACGGCAGCAUUGGCUUUAUAAAAAAUGCCAUAUGAAUUAUUAAAAUGUAAGAUGAAAUGGCUUUAGCAAAUGAGUAGUUGAACAACAAGGGUAUCCACAGGCCCAGUGCUGAAAGAGACAUGUGUCCAGUGCAGCUCAGUUAAGCCUUUUGUCUGGCUGUUGUGUUAAAACUGUAAGCAGCAGUCAUUCAUCCACCUCCAGUUUUCUUUUUAGACAAAAAAUAAACAAGACCUUUACUUGUAAGCCUUACAAAUAGCACAUUCCAGGUACAGCAGUGUUUAAAAACAAAGAAGAAUAAGUGAAGGUAGAUAUGAGAAGGCCUUAUUCUGGAUAGCAGUUUUCUCAAGUUUAAAUUAAAAAAACAGCUUCAGCUGCUUUGAAACUUUUAAAACAGGUACUGUCAAUGAACAAGAAAGGAGAACAGGCAUGAGGUGCAGUAAAAUAUUUCAAAAGACAUGGGAAAUCCUCAGAUGUCGAGCCUUUUAGCCAGAAUAGUCUAUAUUGCCUUACAAGCUGGAGAUCUUCCAAGGCUCUGGGACACGUAGACUUGAAAAAUCAAUUGAAGGUUAAGAGUUUAUGAAAUUAAAUCUGUGGUUUAUAGCUGAAGAAUCUACUACCUUUUUAAAAAAAA